GUCAUAGCACAGGGGUAGAGCCCCUGCUUUGUGAGGAGAAGAUCCUGGGUUCAAUCCCCAGUAGCAUCU